CCCUACCCGGCUCCCGUUCCCAAGUUCCCGCGAGAACGGGAGGUUUGCGUCAAUAAAAAGCGCGCGUCCAAGAAAAGGGGCUCCGCUGUGGGUUUAAGGGAUGGAGCUUGGAGGUGGAUGAAGAGUAGGGAGCAAGAAGAGGGCUAAAAGAGGGAGUUCCAAAAUUUUAGCUGUUUUUCUCAUAAUGUUCUUUCUCCUUUUCUCUCUUUAGCUCCUCCAUGCAGCCCCCGGUAGAAAGCCCAGUUCCUGCGCUAGUCGAUUUGUGCAUUAGGAAAGGCAGGGAUUUCCUGCGCUGAGGCGGGACAGCUGCCUUUCGGGACCCAGUCCUUGCAUCUUGGGAGGUGUGGGUGCUGAUCUGGUUGUUUCUCCGUUUAUGAAGCCCAAAAGGCCGGGAGGGGGCUAAUGAAGUGAACCCUUUCGCUGUUAUAUUUCAUUAACAGAAGCCCACGAAAGAUAGUAGUUCAUCGAUUUAUAUCAAUCUUUUCUGUUUCUGAACCUUAUCCGGCAGAAACUUUUGUGGUGCAUAAAGUUAAGUAUGUUGCUAAAGCUGAGUUAAUGAAAGGAAAAUCUUGGCUACAAUUCCUGUGUUGAAAAAGAAUGUAGGAUCGAUAGUGGUAUUGGUUGCACAACAAUGAAUGGACUUAAUGCUACUGAACUGUGCACUUCAAAAUGGUUAAAAUGGUUUUGUGUCACCCAUUAUGCUGCUAAUAAACAGUGUCACAUUUACAAGAACAGAAAGCCAAACACCGCAUGUUCUCACUCAUAGGUGGGUGUUGAACAAUAAGAACACGUAGACUUGGAGAGGAACAUCACAGACUGGGGGCAGUUGGGGUAGGUAGGGGAGAGACAACAGGGGGUGGGGAGGGAUAACAUGGGGAGAAAUGCCAGAUACAGUAUGCCCCUAAAGUUAAAUAAAUUUUUAAAAAAUAAACAGUUUGUAUCACAUUUAAUGUACAUUAAAAUGUGAUAUGUGUCCUUUUCAAUCUAUGUUGUGCUCAAGGAAUGCAAGAUUUGGAAUCCUGUCUAUCUUCUAAUUGGUUUACAUAAUUUAACUUUAGCAUGGAGUGUUUUUGAAUGUUUGUUAAACCUUUUUAACUGGAGUAUUCUCUUAAUCCAAAGAUCAGGUUAUCUCUUCCUUUCUCAGUUGCACAACAUUGAUUCAGCUAGAGAUUGAGACAGUGGAAGAAAUGAAUAUUGUAAAUUUGAAAAUAGCCUCAUGAAGGAUGUCUCAUAUUUGUCAUUUCUUUAAUUUACUAAACAUUAAUUUACUAAAAAAAAAAAGCUUGCUUUUUCCUUACUAGGUUUUAUGACUUUAAAAAUAUUCCUGUUAUAAGUAUGGUCAUUAUUUGAAAAUUAUAAAUGAGAUAUAGUCAAAGUUAUUCCACAACUUUUUUCAACAAUGUGAUUAUUUUUAGCAUUUCAUACAGGUAAUUCUGAAUUCUUUUGGAAUUAGAGUAUUCUGUAAUAUAUAAAGUAUGAUAAGUAUUAAUAAAGUAUUAAACCUCCUUCUAGGGCAUUCACUCUUAUCUCCAGGCAAAGUAUAGAUUUUAUCAUUUGCAGAUACUUGGGUGAGUGCCCACAGUACUCAAGGAUAAGUUUUUUUGGAGGUUAUAUUACUUUAACCACAAAUAGAAGAUUAAGCAGACCCAUAAUAGGACACAGCUAUUAAAUCAUGAAAUAGACCAGGUGUGGUGGCUCACACCUGUAAUCCCAGUCCAUUAUAGGACUUCCUUUAUGGGUUAGUAACAGCUACAAACCAGAAGGGCAAAUGUAUUACUUCAUAACACAGUGUUGUAAUAUUUCAUGAUUUUGAUUGUUUGUUUAUUUUGAGACAGAGCCUCUUUCUUUCGCCAGGCUGGAGUGCAGUGACACCAUCUCGGCUCACUGAAAUCUCCACCUUCCAGGUUCAAGUGAUUCUCCUGCCUCAGCAUCCAUAGUAGCUGGGAUUACAGGUGUGCACUACCACACCCAGCUAAUUUUUGUGUGUUUUUUUUUUUUUUUGUAGAGACAGGGUUUCACCACGUUAGCCAGGUUGGUCAUGAUCUCCUGACUUUGUGAUCCACUCACUUUGACCUCCAAAACUGCUGGGAUUACAGGUGUGAGCCACCACGCCUGGUCUAUUUCAUGAUUUAAUAGCUGUGUGGCCUUUCUGGACAAAC
ensembl:lncRNA